CACGGCUGCUGAGCCCAUGGAGCAGCAGCUGCUCCAGCUCCAGAGUGGACAAUCCCAUUUUUUGGGUGUUUUCCUAAAUGUCAGGGGGGUUUGUGAUGCAAUCUGUGUUAGUGGCACCUCCUCUGGGGCAAAUCCUGACACUGGGCCCAGGGUGUGAUGCACUGAGCCUGGUGUGGAUCUCCUGGAUCUUCAAAGGACAGGGUCCAGGGGAGCACAAGAAUUUGGAUAUUGGAGAUCAGAACUUGAAUCCUAGAAUAACCCAGCCCUUACUUGCACUCCUUCCCUGGGCAAAGUUUGGAGAAAAUGAAUGACCCCGCCUUGGUCAACACCAGGCACAAGCAGAUGUUUGCCCUCCACCAGUUCCAACUCACGACACCACCCUGCUGUCCCUUCACUGAUCCCAUUUUUCCCUGCUAAAAAGCAAACCCCAGCACGGGGUGUGUGAGAGAAAACAGCGCUGAAAUAUUUGAAUGCUGUUACAUAAAGGGGCGAGGAGGCUUUGCCUUGAACGCUGCUUUCAUUUCCAUUUCAAAAAAGGUACAGCUGAAGUGUAAAAAGUUCAGAGAGGGCUGAUGGAAAUGAUUAGACAGAGGGUGAGAUGUGCUUGUGAUGAGAGCCUGUCAAGUUUGGAACAUGAAUUUCCUGGCUAACAAGGAUGAAAAUGGCAAAAAUGUAUCAGAUAAGGAAUAGCUGAUAGGGAGUAUCUCAGGAGGUUGUUGAGGAUCCCUUUUUUCCUGCACUUUCUGCUGACACAAGAAUCCAGGAACAGCCAAAAGAUGUGGCAGGGCCCACAGCACAGGUUGGUGACAACAGACAGGGCUUUGGGCUGGAUGUGGGAUCAUUGCCACAGGAGUCUGAGACAUCAGCAGUGUUUAAAGGAUGAGGAAUUAGAGAUUUGGGCAA
rnacentral:lncRNA from 1 species